UACGGGAGGCAGCAGUGGGGAAUAUUGCACAAUGGGCGCAAGCCUGAUGCAGCCAUGCCGCGUGUAUGAAGAAGGCCUUCGGGUUGUAAAGUACUUUCAGUCGUGAGGAAGGUGUUAAGGUUAAUAACCUUAGCAAUUGACGUUAGCGACAGAAGAAGCACCGGCUAACUCCGUGCCAGCAGCCGCGGUAAUACGGAGGGUGCGAGCGUUAAUCGGAAUUACUGGGCGUAAAGGGCACGCAGGCGGUUAAUUAAGUUGGAUGUGAAAUCCCCGGGCUUAACCUGGGAAUGGCAUUCAAGACUGGUUAGCUAGAGUCUUGUAGAGGGGGUAGAAUUCCAUGUGUAGCGGUGAAAUGCGUAGAGAUGUGGAGGAAUACCGGUGGCGAAGGCGGCCCCUGGGACAAGACUGACGCUCAUGUGCGAAAGCUGGGGA
rnacentral:rRNA from 1 species